rnacentral:lncRNA from 1 species
AAUUAGUCGAUUGAAUGACGAAGUAUAAUAGUAUUAUGAUUGAUGACAUGGUAAUAAUUUAAAUAUUAUAUUACUAUCAUUUCAACAAUAUAUUUGUGAAGCCUCAUUUUUCAUGGGGUCAACUAUUCUGACUCUAACAUGUUUAACUCUUUUAAUUUUUUGGACUUAAUCAUUGUCUAAAAUAUUAUAGCUGGAUUAAGAGGUUUAGUUCUAUUAUAUCUUAUAUAUAAGAUUAUUUCAAUUUUUGAGGUUUCAAGUUUAAACACGCUCAUAAGUAUCAACGAUAUGAGACUCAUCUCGCUAGCCUUAGUCUAUUUUAUAGAAAACUGCGCGUAUUAGCCAAUUUUAUGGGGAGUCGCGCUCUACCUACAAUAGUCAUCGGCCAGAAAAUCUCGCUCUGCUUGCUGUAUAACUCUGGCUUAACUGGGACUCAUCUCACACUUCCGACCGGUAAUUGAUUUUGAUACUAACUGUAACGCCCCAUUUCUCAGAGGGUUAUCUAUCCUAGAAUUAUUCAAGUCCUAGUAUACUUAACUCUUUAGACUUAGUUACUGCCCAAAAUGUUAUAUGUUACGUAUGGAAUUGCGAAAAAAUUGCGUUAUGUGCGGUGAGAAAGUACGAUGGAAAAAUAUUUUGUUUGUUUUCGUACGUAAUAUUACGUUCCAUAUAUCGCGAUUAGUCGGUUACGACAUAUUUUCUGCAGCCCCACCAGAGAACGCAGAAUCAUAUCCCUAUAUGCUUUUACCUCAACUUCAUUUUAUCUAAUAGCGUUAGAUAGAUCUUAAUAUCAAACUAAGCCAUAACCGGGUUAAGAGAAUUAGUCAUAUUAUAUAUCUUAUAAAUAGGGCUAUUCUAAUUCUAGAGUCUCACAAUAUUAUUAUCCAAUAAAUUAAAAUUAAACUAAAAAUAUUAAUUAAAUAAUUUUAAAAAUAAUUAAAUAAAAAAAUAAAAAAAAAGAAAUUAAGAAUUAAAUUGUAGCAAUUUGGCUUAUUAGCAACAAAAAAAAAAAAGAAGAAGAAAAGGUGUAAGAGCUCACCCUUCACCAAAAAAAAAAAAAAUAACCUGAAACGGUACCAAACCCCGCCCCUCGCUAACCACACCGGUGUGGUGACGUGGCAUUGCUUCGUUUUGUUUUCUCCUAAUUGCCCCUCGCUAAUCACACCGCUGUGGUGACGUGGCAUUUGAUUCAUUUUGUUUUCUCCUUAUUUUUGACUUGUGUGUAGUACGCCGAUUCAUCUCGAAGCGGCGACUUACCCGCCACGACUUGCUAAAGAAGAGCAACGCUACGCGUACCCCAAAAAGGUCCCCCCCAAUAUCUCCACAGCUAAUUAAUUAAAAAAAACUUCAAAUACUACUAUGUGGUUUCGCACUUUCUCACUUUACUAUUAUGUGAUUUAAAAUAUAUCACUUUCGUAUUAUAUGAUUUUAUUUUUAUCUUUUUAUUAUUUCUUUCACUAAUUUUUUCAUUAAAUCAAUGACAAAGUUAAAAACUGAAGGAUAUUAAAGUAAAUACUUGAUAAACCUAGAUGGUAUAUUCAAACUUUUUUUGCAUAUAAUUUAACAAAAUAUUAACGGAGGAGCUGACAAAAAAAAAUAAAAUUACAGGUACUAAAUUGAUAUACUUUAAACCACAUGAUACUAAAGUGAGUAAAUAUGAAACCAUAUGGGUGGUAUUUGAAGCUUACUUAAU